AGGUCACACCUGUUUCCAUACCGAACACAGUAGUUAAGCUCAGUAGCGCCAAAAGUAGUUGGAGGAUCGCCUCCUGCGAGGAUAGGACG
rnacentral:rRNA from 1 species